rnacentral:rRNA from 1 species
ACGGUGGCAGGAGUAAGCUUGCUGCUUUGCUGACGAGUGGCGGACGGGUGAGUAAUGUCUGGGAAACUGCCUGAUGGAGGGGGAUAACUACUGGAAACGGUGGCUAAUACCGCAUAACGUCGCAAGACCAAAGAGGGGGACCUUCGGGCCUCUUGCCAUCAGAUGUGCCCAGAUGGGAUUAGCUUGUUGGUGAGGUAACGGCUCACCAAGGCGACGAUCCCUAGCUGGUCUGAGAGGAUGACCAGCCACACUGGAACUGAGACACGGUCCAGACUCCUACGGGAGGCAGCAGUGGGGAAUAUUGCACAAUGGGCGCAAGCCUGAUGCAGCCAUGCCGCGUGUAUGAAGAAGGCCUUCGGGUUGUAAAGUACUUUCACGGGGAGGAAGGUGUUGUGG